AAGAGAGAAAUAUAAGAACUGCUAACUCUUAGACCCGUAACUAAACCUAUGGCUCUCUUA
rnacentral:tRNA from 1 species